rnacentral:lncRNA from 12 species
AUGUUAAACAAGGUCUUUGAUAUUUCUGCCCUUCAUGUAACAGAAUGGGAACGAUUGCUCCUCUAUAAUAAGAAAAGCGCAUGCAGUGGUCCAGUAUAUGGUCUGAGAAAUGGGAAAACACAGCAAGUCAGCAGCAGUGGAUGGGGCAGAGAGGAAGGACAAAUUCUGUGCGAGUAUCUAAAAUGUGGAAAUUACAUAUCACACUCCAAUAUAACCAAAAACACAGAUGAGUGGUGGAAGAAGACCUAUGAUUGCUCAGGGAAGAAGAAUAUUUGGGAAUGCGAGACCAAUGAUCAGUCCAACCAGACUCAGCAGUUAAACAUCCAAUGUGACAGUAAACCUCGAAAAAUUUUGCUCUCAGACAACUGCACAGGUUAUGUGUUCAUAAAUAAAGAACAUGUUUGUGCAUCCUGGUGGGAUGAUGGGAUGUCCAACAAGUUAUGUGACAGCCUCAAUUGUGGUAAGGCACUCCACAGCUGGGUCACAGAGUCUGUUAUUAAAACAAAUACCUGGCAUUUCAGCUGCACUGGCAAGGAGACACUGAUGUGGCAGUGUGGCUCUAGAAGUGACAGCUGUAAGAAAAUCCUCUCUGUGGCCUGCAAAGGUAGUGUUGAAUUCAGCUCUACUGAGAAGUGUGGCGGGAAGCUUGGGAUCAGGUAUAAAGGGCAAUGGGAAUAUGUCUGUGGAGAACUGGCUGAAGCUGAUACCAAGAAGGUUUGUGAUGUGCUUAAUUGCAACAAUCAAGAACUGCUGGAUGAAGAGAAAAUUGCAAAGGAAAUAAAGGUGAAAAUUGAAUGCCCAAAAAACCAUUACAACAUUUUUCAGUGCAUGCACCAUCUCGGAAACAAUACAUGCAGUAAUCGACCUGCUGAAAUCAAAUGUGAAGGUAAAAAAAAAAAACACAGAUGCCAUACACUUUAAUAUAGGAAAAUCAUUUUUAUUGUUCUGGGAUUUGUUUUGCCGCUGCUUGCCUUCUUGCAUGAAGUAAAGUAGCUGUGAGUUUACUUUAAUAAAGGUUAAUGAACAUUCUAACCUGUGAAACUGUUUCAUUAAAACUGCAGGUUAUACUCCAAAAGGAGGUAAUUCUUCAGUGGGUCUGAUAUUGGGUCUGUUAGGAGUUGUGCUGGGGUUGCUGAUUUUGUUUUUAAUGUGGAGAAAUCGGAAACGCCUACUUUUAACCUGUGAGUAUCAUAUUCACAAUGCAGAAAGACAUUUUUCUAAUUUGCUGAUAAACAUUAUUUUUACAUAAUGAAGUUACACAGAGAUAUUUGAAAGGCCUUCAUCUUUUUAGCCUGUUGGUGGCAGUCUUUCCCACUUCUUGUCUCACUACACACACUCCACAUCAAACAAUAACCGGUAGAAUUAAUAGAAAGCAUACUUUUCUGCCUGUUUCUGUUUUUGCAGUAACUCAUUACAGAAAUAAAAAUGGCAAAGACGUCAACCCUGAUGUGAAUGAAAUGGAUCAGAUGGAUACAGAGGACAGAGGUAUACUGUUUAAUUUAAUUAUUAUUACUUUGAACAUUGUGAAUACUGAGACAUAAGCUAAUGCUUUCCUUAAUUGCAAAAUGUUAUUAUUAUUAUUUAUUUAUUUAUUUUACUUUUGUAUCUAAUAAGACAAAAGACAAAAUCAUUCAAACACACAGAUAGAUAGAUAGAUAGAUAGAUAGAUAGAUAGAUAGAUAGAUAGAUAGAUAGAUAGAUAGAUAGAUAGAUAGAUAG